AAGUCGUAACAAGGUUUCCGUAGGUGAACCUGCGGAAGGAUCAUUAAUGAAUGAACUUGGUUGGGUUGUUGCUGGCUUCCUGUGGGGGGCAUGUGCACACCUGCCACCAGUUUUUCAAACCCCUGUGCACUUUUUGUAGGCUAGACUUAGAAUGCAAGUAGGAACUGUGGUACCAGCAGUUUCGAAACGUCUUGUCCAGUCUAUGUUUUCACUAUAUACCCCAAACGCAUGUAACAGAAUGAAUUGAUAGGCUUUAAAAAAUGCCUUUAAAUCUUAAUACAACUUUCAACAACGGAUCUCUUGGCUCUC
rnacentral:misc_RNA from 1 species